rnacentral:lncRNA from 1 species
AUAAACACUGUAAUGUAUUUUUUGAAAUAAGUUUGCAAAAAGUGGAAGAUGUCAAGGUGUUCAAAGGUUUCAUUAGCCAUGGUGUAUGUCAUUACUUUGUCCAUAAUGAUUAUGGCCCCUCCUUGUAACAGUUGCUUCCCACCACCAAAUAAAACACCACCAUCCCCACCACCCCCAUCUCCAUCCCCACCACCACCAACUUCAUCCCCACCACCACCAGCCUCGGUGUCGCCAACCUCAAUAUAGUCGCCAACGCUCACUCCAUGAUCAAGCAAGCUAAGGGUGAUAAAAAGCUUCCAGAUAAAUAAAUAAAUGUGUUUAAGAAUAAAAAUAAAUAAAUGUUACUGAAAUAUCAGAAUAUUUUAUAUUUUAUUAUUAUUAUCUUAUUUUGCCCUUAAUGCCUCGAAAACCAUAAAGAAACACUUUUAAACAACCCCAUAUUAAAGUAUAAUAUUCUAUACCAGUAAUUUUCAGGAAAACCCUUUUAUAAUGAGUUCAAAAAAGUCCGUCGAAUACUAACUGUUCAUUUCUAUUUCAUAAAAAAAAUCCCUCCAUCUACACCAACCUAUGACGUGCUAUUCUUUAUUUCAAUGAUGGGUCAAGAUCAAACGGGCUUUAUCCGAUCAGAUUGAUAAAACCUGGGUGUCUCUCCGAUCUCAGAUCGGAGUGCGAUCUAGAUGGAUUAGAGACUAAGAUCUAUGGAUCGAAUUGGCGGAUUAACGAGAUAGGAGGACGGUGACGAGCGUGAAGACUAUUGUUGCUUGUGGAGGUCGGUGAGCUAAAUAAUCUACAUCUUUUAUUUUUUUCGAUUUAUUAAUUUGAUUUAGGGUUGAUAAAAUAACGAUGUUUUUUUAAUAUUUUUUUUUAAUUUACAGGUUGAUGAUAAGGUUAACGACGCAGUCGAGAAAGCGAUGACUCGUCAAAUUGAAUUAGCGAUGUUUCGUCAAAUGACAUUCUUCCAACAAUACAAUAACGCUCUUCUCGCUCAGAAUCCUAACUUGCGCUUACCGAAAUUUUCCUCAAUAUUCAACGACACUACGGCGCAACCGGAUCAAAUGGCCGGGUUCAACUUUAAUUCAUCUAGAGCGUCGACGUCACGAGCACCACCAAUACUACAGCAGACUCCUCCUCAACCAACGAUGCAAGCAGAGGAUCAGACUCCACAAUGUCGCGGAGGACGACCCAUUAUUUUUCCAAGAUCCCAGUUAACAAAGACGCUCGCAUUUAAAAAGAAAAAGAACAAUAACAACAAGCGACAAAAUAGAAAUUAGGAUAGUUAGUGACUCUUUUUAAAAAAAUUGUAUUUCGUUUUGUCGUAUUUUAAUUAUCGAAUAUUUUAUUUAAAUUUUAAUUUUAAUUUUAUUUCCAUUUCAUACAAUUUCUAUAAAAAAAUUCAUAAUUUAAAUAAA